rnacentral:misc_RNA from 1 species
AUAUAUCUUGUGUUGUUGUUAGGUUUAGGAGGUGACGCCUAUUGAAAACUAUCGUUAUCCUGGUGUCGCGUAUAUACCUAUUAUAGAAGUUCCUUCACACGGGUUGCCAAUUUGUGGAUUAGACAAACGACGAAUACAUACUUGGUUGGGUAACCAUAAGGUUCUGCAAUAGGUUGUAACGUGGCAAACGAAGGGAAAGACAGAAGACUCCCCAACACCC